AUUGAACGCUGGCGGCAUGCUUUACACAUGCAAGUCGAACGGUAACAGGCCGCAAGGUGCUGACGAGUGGCGAACGGGUGAGUAAUGCAUCGGAACGUGCCCAGUCGUGGGGGAUAACGCAGCGAAAGCUGCGCUAAUACCGCAUACGAUCUAUGGAUGAAAGCGGGGGACCGUAAGGCCUCGCGCGAUUGGAGCGGCCGAUGUCAGAUUAGGUAGUUGGUGGGGUAAAGGCGCACCAAGCCAACGACCUGUAGUUGGUCUGAGAGGACGACCAGCCACACUGGGACUGAGACACGGCGCAGACGCCUACGGGAGGCAGCAGUGGGGAAUUUUGGACAAUGGGCGCAAGCCUGAUCCAGCAAUGCCGCGUGCAGGAAGAAGGCCUUCGGGUUGUAAACUGCUUUUGUACGGAACGAAACGGUCCUGGUUAAUACCCGGGGCUAAUGACGGUACCGUAAGAAUAAGCACCGGCUAACUACGUGCCAGCAGCCGCCGUAACAC
rnacentral:rRNA from 1 species